GGUGAACGCUGGCGGCGUGCCUAAUACAUGCAAGUCGAGCGAACGGACGAGAAGCUUGCUUCUCUGAUGUUAGCGGCGGACGGGUGAGUAACACGUGGAUAACCUACCUAUAAGACUGGGAUAACUUCGGGAAACCGGAGCUAAUACCGGAUAAUAUUUUGAACCGCAUGAUUCAAAAGUGAAAGACGGUCUUGCUGUCACUUAUAGAUGGAUCCGCGCUGCAUUAGCUAGUUGGUAAGGUAACGGCUUACCAAGGCAACGAUGCAUAGCCGACCUGAGAGGGUGAUCGGCCACACUGGAACUGAGACACGGUCCAGACUCCUACGGGAGGCAGCAGUAGGGAAUCUUCCGCAAUGGGCGAAAGCCUGACGGAGCAACGCCGCGUGAGUGAUGAAGGUCUUCGGAUCGUAAAACUCUGUUAUUAGGGAAGAACAUAUGUGUAAGUAACUGUGCACAUCUUGACGGUACCUAAUCAGAAAGCCACGGCUAACUACGUG
rnacentral:rRNA from 1 species